rnacentral:rRNA from 1 species
GUCUAUGGCCAUACCACCCUGAACACACCCGAUCUCGUCUGAUCUCGGAAGCUCAGCAGGGUCGGGCCUGGUUAGUAUUGGAUAGGAGAAAUCCCUAGACCACCAUAUCUA